rfam:Bacilli bacterium VT-13-104 contig041, whole genome shotgun sequence.
AAUAAUCACUAGGGGAGCCUUUGUCGCUGAGAAUAGCAAUACCCUAUUGCUUAAACCCUUUGAACCCGAUAUGGAUAAUACUAGCGUGGGGAAGUGCAGCCAAAAGGAU